GACCAGAGCCUGAAAGAGGAGGAGGAACUCAUCUUGCAGUCAGGGUCUAAAUCUUUUGUCAGUUUUCAACUAAAGGCAGGGGAGGGUCCAUGUAAACAGAGUCCUUAUAGAGGGAUCUCCUAAAUAAGUAUCUCAAAGAAUAGCUUUACCUUUUCCAUAUUUACUCCAGGUCUCCAACGUACUUUUUUUUGUUUGUUUUUGUUUUUCGUUGCCCAGGCUGGAGUGCAAUGGCGUGAUCUCUCCGCUCACUGCAACCGCCGCCUCCGGCUCCCAGGUUCAAUCAAUUCUCCUGCCUCAGCCUCCAUAGUAGCUGGGAUUAGGGCGCCUGCCGCCACGCCCGGCUGAUUUUUUGUAUUUUUAGUAGAGACGGGGUUUCACCAUGUUGGUCAAGCUGGCCUCAAACUCCUGAGCUCAGGUGAUCCACACACCUCGGCGACCCAAACUGCUGGGAUUACAGGCGUGAGCCACCGCGUCCUGCCCAACAUACAUUUUUUUUUACUUCACAGGAAUCCCAGAUACAGGCCAUAGGUUUUUCUUUUUGUUCCCCUCUAGCUAGUUUUAAAUUCCAAGUGACAUCUUUCCCUGUGGGAAAUCAGCAAAGAUAGAGCUAUAGCUAGAGAUUAAAGCGGGAGGAGCAGGCUUGGAGAGAAAAUGAAAGGAAGAGAUAAGAUUAAAAAUCAACAUUCUAUGCAAAAAAGAGCCCAGAGCAAAGGGCCUAAGUGGCCACUUCCCCCAUCUCUGUCGUAACAACAGGCCGAUUCCUGCAUCCUGGCUGCCAAUUUCUUUAUGGAGAACUCAAUUCUCCCUUGAGAGAGACCUGCCCUGGCACUAUGGAAUAAGCAUGCUACGUUAACUUUCUAAAGGCCACUGGGGAACAAUUUACUGAACUGC
rnacentral:lncRNA from 10 species